rnacentral:rRNA from 1 species
CCUAUAUGAAGUCGGAAUUGCUAGUAAUCGCAGAUCAGCAUGCUGCGGUGAAUACGUUCCCGGGCCUUGUACACACCGCCCGUCACACCAUGAGAGUCGAUAACACCCGAAGCCUGUAGUCUAACCAUAAGGAGGACGCAGUCGAAGGUGGGAUUGAUAAUUAGGGUGAAGUCGUAACAAGGUAAC